UCAGGCCCCCAUGGGCCUGCUAAGCCACAUCCAGGCCCGUAGCCCUUCGGAGCCACUCUGUGUAUGCCGAGUGUAGGGCAACAGACUGCACUCUUUCUUGGGACAGCUUGAUUUCCCCAGCAUUCCCACAGGUCCACGAACACCGUUCUAGCAGGGCCAACAUGCCGUGCAAGUCUGACUCAUUGCCCUAGUCUGCGCUGCACUGAGAAAACACUCGGCUUCGUAUUCCAUCUGGGACCCCCUGUCUGAAGUCACCCUGCCUGCAGGAGAAUGUCGGCUUGCGUUCCGACUGCAAGUAAAGCCCAGUUCCUCGGAUAACACUGCAGGCUUUUGAAGAGCCACGGGCCCGGAGGCCUAGCUGGGGCUUUCCUUGGUUGAGGCAGUUCGCUAGAUGCAGAACACCCUGCUUCGAGGAGUUGAUUCAACGAAGUAACCACUGGGUAACCUAUGUCUCUUUGGACUUGUUAGAAAGCACAGGGAUGUAUGCUGCAUGUGCCAGCGGAAAUGGGGACCUGAUGGAACUAGCCUUGCUUUCCCAUUUUGAAAUCUCCACUCAUGCUGCCUUGAAGCUAUUUGAAAUUGAGUGCUGUUGACAGGCCACUAGCCACUGUAGGCAUGGUUCUGGGAAGAAAAUGAAUUGUCUCUAGCUAAGCCGGGUGCUUCGAUGGCCGGGGUGGAGCUCAUCCUGCCACGCUCUAGAGCUAAAGGGAAACUCAACGUGAGUACUGGCCUCGAGGUACGGCCCUGUGUAGCCAUGCAGAAAGGGCGGCAUGCAGCUGUUUCCAUGAUGUCUUAGUCAUUCUUCUGCUUUAUUAUAGAGGGAGUACCCUUUUCAGGACUCCUAAGCCCCCUGGUUGGCACCCUUUUCCCUACAGAUCACUGAGUACCCCCAGAACCCUGUAUGUUUGCUCAGCAACAGCCAGUUCAGUUGGCCCUUCAGAUGCCCUCUGUGUAUGCCGAGCAAAGGGCAACAUGCUACACUCUUACUUGAGAGAACUAGAUUUCCUCAGCACUCCAACAGCUUUAGGAAAACGUUUCUACCCCGUCUAACAUGCCAUGGAAUUGUCCCUCAUUGCCCUAUUGUGAGCUCUACUGAAAAAGCACUCUGCUAAGCAUUCCUUCUAGGACUUCCUACCUGAAGUCACCCUGCCUCCAAGAGAAAGUCGGCUGGCGUUCCAACUGUGAGUAAAGCACAUUUCUUCGUGUUACAGUGCAGGCUUUUGGAGCAAGCACAGGCCCAGAGGCCUAACUCAGGCAUUCCUUAGUUGAGGCUGUUCGCUACACACAGAACACCCCGUGUAGAAGCGCUGAUUCAGGGAAGUGCCCAGUGUGUAGCUCGUGUCUGUUUUCACUUGUUAGAAAGCACGUGUAAGUGUGCCACUUGUCCACCUGGAAAUGGGGGCCUGACGGCAGAAGCCAUCUCAUCAGAGGUGUUGGGAGUGUGUAGAGGCCUUAUAUUCCUGUUGUGUGUCCUGCAGGCAUCCCAUGAAAGACCAGAAUCUAGGUCAACUUGGGCAAGCCACUUAAGUGAGCCUCAGCUUUCUUUAUUUGUAAGGUGGGCACCACAGCGCUUCCCUCCCGUAUGCAUGGCGAAAUCCUGGCAACAAACGUACACCAUGUGGCCCCACUUUGAAAUCUUUAAAGAGGUCUGCCAAUAAAAGUGUCUGUAGGUUGUACCUUCCCUGCAAUGCGACACCUGGUCCAAGGUGGAGAGGUUCAGGAGUGAGCAGUUUGCCCUUUACAUGAAUGGACAGAGCUCAGCCAGCGGCAUCCCUUCACUGAGAUCCUGGCUGCCGAGGUCCACACUUUCCAUGUAUCCAGGCUAGUUUCAGAUGGAGACUGAGAGGGCAAACAGGCAGGUGUAAGGAUGCAAUCCUCAAAUCUUUGGCUUCAAAUAAUCCAUCCCAAACUGCUACCCGAGCCCCCCAGUAUCAAAAAGGAAACAUGUUAUAGACCCAGAAAAAUGUGUUUCCCAAAAGGCCUAGGUUUGCCCUCAUAGUCAUCAGUAUCUAAAAUAGAAGUAGCACUACACUUAAAAUCUUAAACUUCUAUGUAUAUAGGGACCAAAGGCAUUUUCAUCAGAAAGAAAAGGGAUUUAAUAAUGAAACCACAGACAGAUAAAUUGUUUUCAAGCCCCUGAUAAGAGAGGGGAGAAAUGUCAACUUCAUGGGAGUUGCAGAAUCAGCAGUUAGGAUUUUUGGAUGCCAACACUGGGGGAGAAGAGACUCCAGCCUGUACCCUUCCCGCCCACCCUCCGCAGUAUGCCUGGUUAGGAGGUGAGUCCUGCAGGCGCGGUGGCCCCUGGGCUGGCCGGAGCGGCAGGGUUAGUGCAGGGGUCCCUGAACAGAACAAUUUACCCUCCCUCCCCAGAGACACCUGGCAAUGUCUGGAGGGUGGGCUAGCGGCAGGUGGCCAGGGACGCUGCUAAACACACUGCAAUGCCCGGGACAAAGCCCACCACAGGGAACAAUUCAGCCCAGAAUGUCAGCAGUGCUGAGGGUGAGAAAGCUAUGCACGUGGCAAUGCUGGCCUCCAGGAGGAGCUCAGGAGACAGCGCAACCCCCUUCCUGCCCACAAGGGGGCGAUGGUCCUCUCCUGUAGCUUGUUCCGAUUUAAGGGCCUUUUGCUGUCCGCUGCUGGUGAGUAACCCAGUGCCCUGGCUUUAGGAGUCGGGGCCUGAGGGCCUCGUUAGCUCCCCGAAUUCUGUGCACUCAGAGUGCGCUUCGCCCCCGCGCUCCCCGCUGUUGUAGAGCAGGGUCUGCAAAGCCAGGAGGAGGGAUUGCUGGAUUUGGCGCUACCAGGCUUGGUCUUGGCGUCCCUGGUAAUGCACAGGGUGGUAUCUGGGGUAGAAAGAGACGAAUCAGGCCGAUUAGCAGCGAGGUGGCGGCUGCUGUGCGGAGCGCCCCUGAGUCGCGAGGCUCCGGGACCCGCUGGUCAGCAGCAGAGGCGUGACGACGACGAAGCCUCACCCCGUGCCCCGCGGCCUGGGCCUUUCGGAGCUGCCCUCUUCAGAAGGCUCUCCCAGGUGCAGACCACCCCAUCCCCAAGCCCCAGCACGCUGGCCACUCCGCACUGGACACCUAGGGGUAGUGCGGGGUGUGGUGUCCACGCCAGACUGACGUCCAGGUCAGAGGGGCUCAGCCUGAGGCUGAAAGGAGAUGGAUGGAUCAGUAGGUUAGUGGUGGUAUCUUUUGGGAGGGAAGCACAGGGAAUUUUUACUUCUCAGUUAUCUUCUGCAUUUUAAAAACUUCUGCCAUGAGUAUGCAUUUCUGUAACCAAAACCUUAUUAGAGUGGAAGCUUAGCGAGGCAGCUUUGCAAAAGGACCCUGCCUGACUCUUGACCCGCCUGUGUGCCUAAAUGCGCAUGCAGCUGCGGCUUGGUCAGCAGUGGUGACCUCCUGAAGCUAUUUACAACCUGUAAACGGUGUGUGCUCCUCCACGGGAUAUCUCAGUUCUCUGACUCUCAGGUUCUUCUUCUGUGGAGAAAAAGGGCAGAUAUGUUCUACAAAUGUCCACAGUUCCCCGUGGAGAAGGUGCCUCUGGGCAUGAACAUGUGCUGGAGUGGCAUGAUGCUGGGGUCUGCCCCUCGCAGCUCAAUCUCAAAGACUCCAAGCAGAGCCACCUACUUUAUAUUUUUCUUCCCUUCUGAAGACAUUGGCUGGCACUUGGCCUUGGUCCAGGGUGUACGCCUUCUUCAACCUGUUGACUGCAGAGUCCUCACAUUGCUUUGGGCUUGGUCCAAGUCUGUGCUUGAGUGGAGGACGGGGCUUUGAGAGGGUCCACACGCCCCUCCUUCCCAGCCACGCACCUUCUUUUCCUUGCCAAGCUCUCCCUUCUCCUACUGUGACAACGAAGCAGCUGCUUCAACCUCUUCUGUAACCUGGGCUCUCCCAUCUGUCUUCAGUUUUUCCCGUGCUCAUAGCUGGAUAGAAACCUGCUGGGGGGUGUUUUUCAGACGAACUUGAGUAACUUGCCCUCGUAGAUUAGUUAAGAGCCUGUAGGUCUCGAAGGGAUUUGUGGAAAAGACCCAGCAGAGUCUGCGAGAACCCGAGGUGGCUGUGGCUGGAGCCAGGUGAGCCACAGGUUAGGGGCGUCUGGGCCUCAUCCUGUGUGAGGGUGGAUGCGCUACUGCUGUCCUCUGCCUCGGGCCCUCAUCUGUGAAAUGGGGGAACAGUGAGGACUGCCCUCCCGAGGUCGUCAUGAGGCUUAAUGUGUGAAUGCACUGACCACUCAGAGCAGCCCUCACCGCAGGGAGAGGUGUGUGUGUGUGUGUGUGUGUGUGUGUGUGUGUGUGUGUGUGUGUGUGUGUGUGUGUGUGUGUGUGUGUGUGUGUGUGUGAGUGUGAGUGAGUGUUUGCAGCCACCGGGCUUCGCUUUUCUCCACCAGCUCCUUCUUCACGGGGAAGCAAGGAGAGGCAUGGGAGGGAGGGAAGGAGAAGACUAGAAAAAGGAGGCAGAGGGAGGUCCCUGGGGAAGGGUUUCUGCCACUCAUGCAUGGGUGGCCUGGGCUCCAAACUUGGGGUUUUACACCAGGGCGUGUGAGCAAGGGGCGGCGGCCAGGGGCAGAGCAUUUGCAGACCGUGCGUAGGUCUGGACAGAGCAGGAAGACGCCAAGGCUCUGCCUCCUCCCAGCUGUCAAGGCCCGAGGCAACAGGUCACCCCUUCUGAGUCCCUGAGAAAUUGGGAGGUGCUAGUCCAAGGGCACAAAGUUUCAGUUAUGCCAGAUGAAAACAAGUUCUGGAGCUCUGCUGUAUAAUAUGGUGCCUGUAGUUAACAAUACUGUAUUGUGUGCUUAAAAUUUACUGAGGAUGGCUCCUAUCUUAAGUGUUCAUACCAUACACACAAAGAAUGAUGAUAAUAGGAAUAAUAAUAAAUAAAGGAAUGAAUAGGUCGGGAGGACACCUUUGGAGUGAUACAUAUGUUUACGGUGUAGAUUGUGGUGAUGGUUUCAUGGGUGUAAUCUGUCUCCAUACUCACAAAGUUGCAUGUAUUAAUCAUGUACAGCUUUCUGUAUGUCAAUGAUACCUUCAUAAAGUGGUUUAAAACAAUAAAAUGGGGGGGGAAUAUAGUCACUCCAAGUACUGAGCACGUUGCCUGUCACAGUAAAUAAGGAAAUAAAUGUAAUUAUGGUUUAACCUUAGCUCAGGACUGAGAGUGGGUCCCACAGGUACUUGGCAGGUGGUGUCUGUGGCCAGCUCCUCCACCCUGGCUCAGCACUGCUUCUGUGAAGCACAAGGGCUCCCCAAACACAGAGACCAGCUCCAGGUGCACACUCGUGACAGAGAAGGUGGGUUGGUCGCAGACACCUUGUUUUGGUUACUUGCUAUUCCUUCCUCCACACACCCUUUCAUUGUCCUGGUCCUUAACCUUUAACUCCUGUAAGAAACAGGGUUUGCAGAUUUCUGAAGACAUUUUGCAGUGUGCAGACCUGUUUCACCUUUGUUCCCCAUCCUUGGGUCUGGAGAUAAAGGCGGGAAGACAGUACUCCAUGAAAGCAACAAUCACAAACCUCAGGUAUGCUCACCCUCAGGUGCCUCAGACUUCAAAGAAAUGGCAAACUAGGCAUCUCAUUUUAUACAUGGCCGUCUUUAAGUACACAUGUAUGUACAUAAAAUGAAAUUGUACUGAAAUAAAUCUUAUUGCUGAACGUUUGCUUUUCGGAAGACACUUUGGUGUAAAAGUUCCUAAGAAAAUUUGUUUUUUUAAAGGACCAAAAGUGGGGUGAGUGUUUCAUGGGUAAAGACCUUUUUCGUAACGAGUGAAGGUGAAAUGAGCAGACUGUGCAACUCAGAUUCCAGCUGCAUCCCCGUCACUACCCUCGGGAGUGUGCCGGAAGGACCCCAGAGAGCUGGCCCACUGGGGGACUCUCUUUUCUGGUUGUUGGCUGAGUAUGUAAUGUCCACUCUGGGUCAUCUAAGGGCCAAGACCAAGUACUCUGUUUCUGCUGUGACCCGUGCUUCUGCUACCACGUGCUGCACAAGGUAGGUACCUCAGAGUCCUAGCUGAAUAGCUCAUAGAGAGACAGGUCUCAGCCUUGCUUCUCCACCUGCAUCUUAUAGAGGUGGAAAGUAGGAACUGCAGCCCAGCAAGCCACGGACCCAGGCAAUGCUAAAACUGCAAAGUCACCUGUGUUGAUUCCAGCCAGCUUUUAGUAAGUAAAUCCGUGACUCUUGUAAGAAGAGAUUUCAGAAGAUGUGUACCUUCUACAGAAUUCACAUUUAGUGAGGGGCGUGUGAAAAGGUAUACACAAUUUUAAUCUUUUUAUUUUACUAAUAGCGUAUCUUAAUGAUUGAAAAAUAGAAAUUCCUGUAAAUAAAAAGAAAACCAGAAAGUACUCAUACUUUACACACCUAGUGUUCACGAUCUAAUGGGCCUGCUUCCCCUUCCCCUCUCUCUUCUAUCUGAGCCUCCACGAUGGACGGGACUCACCUGGUACAAGUGACGCGGGGUCGAGCUGGACUGUUGGUUUUCUGCUCCGCCUCUGCUUCCUCUCCGCAUCCUGGACUCUAAAGAAGAUGAAUGAAAUGUCUGCUCUGGUUGCUGGCUGUUUCAUCUCCAACUUAACCUCAGUCUGUGGUUGUGGAGGGCCUCAGAAGUCAGGAAGGUCCCCCGCCGCCAACAUGGGGAGGGUGGGGCCGGACCCAGGUUCCAGCCCAGCCCUGACACGCAGUGCGCUCAGUGGGACAUGUUGGCAUGCAUGCAAGGUUGUAGCGCUGCCAGCCCCCAUAUGCUGCCUUCUUGAGGGCUGGCGGUGCCCUUCAGGACUGGCUGCAUCGUUCGUCCCAUUUGAGUGGGCAGUAGUAGAUAAUAAAAUCUCAGAAUAUCCCUUGACCCGUGACCAUCCAGGCAGGCAUCUGUGGUCCUCCAGCUCAGGCCUGCCUGGGCCCUGUCAAGCCCCUGUGGCCAAUCACUGAGCUGACCUUGCUGCUGGGCAAUUGAACAGCUACCUGGGCAGCGUAGACGGCCCCUUGGGAAGUUUCAGUUCCCUACAUCCAUGUGAUUGAGAAACGGGCCUCCUCCCUCAUAGCCUCUCAGCCUUCUGAGAGGAAAUAACCCUGCAGACAUUGAGUGUGGCCCUGGCCACAAGCAGCAUACAGCAGACCGUGGCCCUGCAAUCCUCUGGCCUUCGGGUUGUUGCAAACCUUUGACAUUCAUACUCAUUACAAAUCAAAGGUAUGGGAGCAAGUGGCUUCCCAGCUGGUGUUCGCACUCUGAGGCCACGUGGUCUCCAGGAGCCACGUGCAUCCGGGCCCAGUCCCCGCGGCCCCCAGAAAGCCAGCCGACUGUGGAUUCCACGGUAUAGGAUCAUCCUCGAGACACUGCUCCGCUGAGUAACAGUUUCCUUACCACCUACCGUUUGGUUUCUGUUCUCUGUAAAGGAGAGAGCAGAGACUGGGAAAUGAGUAAAUGUGUUCUGUGGAGAUGGGUAAUUAAUAUAGUCAGAGCGCAGGUGUGACUCCUGGGCUCCCACCUCCCAGGGACACGAAUGAAGUCUGUGUGCCUUUUGAGGUACACUGGCAAUCAGGGCCAGCCUCUGAUAUGAGGCCCCGAUGCCCAAAGCAAGAGUCUUGAGUUUACCACCAACAGCGAAGUUGCUAUUUUAGCUAGUGGAAGAGCUUCCUGCCAUCAAGGGAGGACAGCAAGAGCCCUGGAUGGGUGACCACAGUCACUGACCUUAACUGAACCUCUUCUUUUCUGUUAAAAUGGACAUUGAGUGGGUGUCGCCUGCAGUUUCUGGAAGCCCUGGAUGCAGUGAGAGAGAUUUUUCCUGUGAAUGGGGCCACCCAAAGGCAUUUAGCAGGACAAAGGAUUGGCGGGAGACCAGAUCACACUGCAAGAGAGUGAGCCACCAGAACUGCCAGGAUGCCAUCCAGUGUAUCACGUGACAUUUAGUCAUCAUGUCUGUUUAGACUCUUCUGGGCUUUCACAGUUUCUGAGACUGUCCUUGUUUCUAUGACCUUGACAUUGGAGGAAGCUACUUUGGGAACCAGCACUUAUGGAGACAGGAGUUAUCUCCACCUCCACAAUCCAUGGAUGGCUGAGUGUCCACAUCAAUUAUUUAGACUUCCACAUAGGAGAUUUCUAUUCAACCUUAUUGAUCAAAACAAACAAACAAACAAACAAACAAAACCCUAUGCAGUUACUUAUUUUUACCAGCAUGGACACCUGUGGACAGUUUUGGUUUGUUUGUUUUUCUUUGUUUUUUUAACUUUUUGUUAUAAUCCAGCAGUCCAGAUUUUGUUGCUAAGUUCAUUCCUACUUUGGCUAUUGAGAGCUCUUUCCAUUGGCUCCUGUUUUCCUUUGACAUCAUUCCACCCUGUGGACUUUUUUUUCUUGAUACUUCCUUAUUUUCUGAUAUAAGAUUCAAGAUUGGGGCUUCCCUGGUGGCGCAGUGGUUGAGAAUCCGCCUGCCAAUGCAGGGGACACAGGUUCGAGCCCUGGUCUAGGAAGAUCCCACAUGCCGCGGAGCAACUAGGCCCGUGAGCCACAAUUACUGAGCCUGUGCGUCUGGAGCCUGCGCUCCACAACAGGAAAGGCUGCGAUGGUGAGAGGCCCGCUCACCGCGAUGAAGAGUGGCCCCCGCUCGCUGCAACUAGAGAAAGCCCUCGCACAGAAACGAAGA